GGGAAGGUGGCUCAGUGGUAGAGUGCUUGCCUUGCAUGCAUGAGGCCCUGGGUUCGAUUCCUUAACCA
rnacentral:tRNA from 1 species